ensembl:rRNA 5S_rRNA 5S ribosomal RNA
GCUUACGGCCAUACCACUCUGACAAAGCCCGAUCUCAUCUGACCUCGGAAGCAAAGCAAAGUUGGGCCUGGUUAGUACUUGCUUGGGAGACUGAAUGGGAAUA